GGAUUAGGCAUGCAAGUCGAACGAGGAUAUAUCCUUCGGGAUAUAAGCCGAGUGGCGCAAGGGUGAGUAAUGCAUAGAUUACCUGCCUUUAGGAUAAGGACAACUUUGUGAAAACGGAGCUAAUACUUAAUAAUACAAAAGGGAAUAAUUUUCUUUUGUCAAAUGGAGGGUAGCAAUAUCUUUCGCCUAAAGAAGGGUUUAUGUCCUAUCAGCUUGUUGGUGGGGUAAUGGCCUACCAAGGCAAAGACGGGUAGCCGGCCUUAGAGGGUGGUCGGCCACACUGGGACUGAGACACUGCCCAGACUUCUACGGAAGGCUGCAGUCGAGAAUCUUUCGCAAUGCCCGAAAGG
rnacentral:rRNA from 1 species